AGGAUCAUUAAUGAAACUGAAGUCUUCGGACUCAUCUUCAUUAUUCCACACACACCUGUGCACCUUUUGAUUCGAGUGCUGGUUAUUAGAGCUUCGGCUUGAAUGCUAGUGCUUGUCUCAAAUAUCAACCUUUUAAAACAAUGUUUUUCUAGAAUGUAUACUGUCUCGUUGUAAUGACGAGUACAACCCCUAUAAAACUUUCAACAACGGAUCUCUUGGCUCAGGCAUCGAUGAAGAACGCAGCGAAAUGCGAUAAGUAAUGUGAAUUGCAGAAUCCAGUGAAUCAUCGAAUCUUUGAACGCACCUUGCGCCCUUUGGUAUUCCGAAGGGCACGCCUGUUGGAGUGUCAUGAAUACCUCAACCCUUACUGGUUUUAUCGCUUGUAAGGUGUUGGUUGUGAGCGUUGCCGGUCGCAAGAUCAGCUCGCUUUAAAGUCAUUAGCUGGAUCCACUUUGACCUGGUUCUACUCGGCGUAAUAAGUUAUUAUCGUCGAGGACACCUUCUCUUUUUGUGAGGGUGGCCACAGUAAAGGUUGCGAACCGCUUCUAAUACGUCUGCUUAGUCUUUGGCUAACGCAACACUUUUUUGUAUCUGACCUCCAAUCAGGCGGGACUACCCGCUGAACUUAA
rnacentral:rRNA from 1 species